CUGCAUCUUGUGAUUGUACUAAAGGCAGUACUAAUUGUACAUUUACAAAAGGACCAACACUGCAUCUUUGCAUUGUACUAAAGGUAGUACUAAUUGUACAUCAAUAAAGACAUCUCUCAAUUUUCCUUUCACUUUGUCUAGAAGUUUCUUACUAUAUCUCACAAAUUUUUCUAACCCUAAUUUCUCUCCUCCUUGCUAAAGUCGCUCUAUUCUCUCAACUCUUCGUUCUACUUCUCAGCUCUUCAAUGGCGAAUCCAUCUGUUUCUUAGUCUUUUCUGUUUUUCUACACACUCUCCAUCAUUCUAGAACACUCACCUUCCUCAUUAGCACAAAGUAGACGCAAGAUUUUCAAUACAAGCAUCAGUUCUUCCAUUCUCUUGCUCCAACUCCAACAACAACGAAUUCCAGGUAUGUUCUUCUUUCAAUUUUGCAACAAAUUUCUUCCAGUUCUUUUUGAACUUUUAAAUUUUACCACUAAAAUAUAGGUUUGACGUCGUUAUUAUUAUGUCUAAUUCUCUCCCCCAAUUUUAUAAUUGAUGUAAAGAUUUAUGUUGUCCUCACACAUAUAUGCAAUUUUAUUUUAUAUAGUUGCAGAUUUAUGGAUUUUUAUUUCAAAAUUUGUUUUCCCUUUGUUCUUGGUUAUUGAAAUUUAGUGUUUCUUUUUCAAUUUAUUAAUUGCAGGUGUGAACAUUUUCAUUUACUUGAGAAGGGAAGUUGACAAAGCUUCAUACCCAAAAACCAAUAUUAACUCCUCAGAGAAACGAUUAUACUACAGGUACACCUAGCUUAAUUUGGGGAGUUCUUAUAGGAAUGUGGUAUCUUUUCGGGAAUUCAGUUUUGUGUACUUGAAGAUUCUUCUUUUUUGUUGUUAGAAGUGCAAAGGGAAGGGCAGAUUCAAUAAAGUAAAGGGGUCCAAGUUCCUUAUUGUGUCCAUUUUGAUUACAAUAAUCAGAUAGAAUAUAAUCUCAUUCAUUCUGGAACUUGUGAAUUUUGGGAUUAUUUUUUGUUGGAGAUAAAUUGCUGUGAUUGGUCCAAAAGGGCGGGUUAUAGAC
rnacentral:lncRNA from 1 species